UAGCGAGCGUUCCUUCGGCCUCGGGCUCCCUGUGGUUCAUUGGUCCCUGCAGAAUUCAGAACAACCCUACAAAGAAGAUGGUGUUAUUAUCCCCACUUCUCAAUGAGGAAAACUGAGGCUCAGAGAAGUGCCUGAAGAAAGAAUGAUGCAACCAAGUCUGAUACCAUCGGGCCCUGCCUGACCACUCCUGCUUAUCUCUUCUAUUCCUGUGCUGAGCCAUGUGCCCUCACUUAAAGCACAAGUCCUGCCAGUUCACUGAGUGGAGUCUAGCCUUUCUUGUGUCCGGGCUCCUGUUCAUCCAGGCGAGGUUCCUGUUCUUCUGGUUUGUACCAUCCAACUGUAGCUGACCUUCCAAGCCUUGUCAACAAAGACAAGUUUACCAGUUCACUAAAAAGGUCAAUGAAGAAAUUACCAAAUUGGUUCAACCAACCCAGGGUAGGAGGAAGUUUGGUAGAGGGGAUUGACAUCUACAAGAUGAAUUUUGUGAUUAACAAUCAUUACGAAGAGCCAGAACUGCCUGUCUAAAAAAUGGCUGGCCCUAAGUGUCCUUUGCUGGUAGCUCCUCAUCUUCACGGAAGUGAUUUUUUUCUGGAAUGUUUUACCUGGAAUGAUUGAAGUAUGAGAGCUAGGGAUCAGGUCUUGGAAUUCCUAGUCUACCUUGGAAUUGUUCCCAACAGUAUACUCCAAUGGCAACCCACUCCAGUGUUCUUGCCUGGAGAAUCCCAGGGAUGGGCGAGCCUGGUGGGCUGCCGUCUCUGGGGUCGCACAGAGUGGGACACGACUGAAGCAACUUAGCAGCAGCAGCAACAUGAGGCUACCCAGAGUGUAAACAACCAGCCUUCUGCUGCAAAUCAGGGCAAGACUGAUCCACCAGGAGAUGGCGGAUGCAUUUCAAAUUGACCAGACUAAUCCCUCUUUUAUUUACAAGAAAACUAUCUUUAGUUGAGAAUCAAGUCCUGCUGGGGGUUUGUACACCCUUGGCGCCACACUGAUGUCACCACAGCCUCCAGCUGGUCCCUCUUAUUUGCCCUCUUGCUCCACUCCAAUCAGUUCUCUACCCUGUAGCCAGCGUGAUCAUUUUAAAAUACAAUCUGAUCCCUUCAGAUCCUCCUUACCGUGUGGGAAGGUUCCAAGCUCUUUACUAUGACGUCAAAGGUCCUCUGUGAUGUAGCCAUACUCACCCUGCCUCACCUCUCCCCACUCCCUGCUUCAUCCUUUAUCCUCCAGCACUUGGGUGGCCCCUAAGAUAUCCAGGAGCUAAUCCCUAGAACCUGUGAAGUAUGUUACCUUACUUACACUUUGCAGAUAUGAUGAGGUUAAGGACUUUGAGAUGGGGAGAUUAUCCUGGAUAAUAUGGAUGGGGUCUAAAUGUAAUCACAGGUAUCUCUAGCAGAGGGAGGGAAGGAGAUUAGACUACAGAAGAGGAGAAGCAACCUGACCUCUCCAACCACAGAGGCAGACACUGGAGUCAUAAGGCAAUGGGCCAAAGAAUAGCCACAGCUACCAGAAGCUGCAAGAGCCGAGGAAGGGCUCUCUCCCCUGGAGUUCCCAGGAGAAACCAGCCCUGCCAACCUCUUGAUUUUAGCUCCAUACAAUUCCGUUCAGACCUCUGGCCUCCAGAACUUCAAGGGAAUACAUUUCUGUUGUUGGAAGCCACUAAAUUUAUGGUAACUUGUCACAGCAGCAAUCGGAAACUAAUACCAACCCUGUCAAAUGACAGUGGUUCCCAGCUCAUCCUGCUGGCCUUUCUCCUGGGUUGCUCUCCGCUUUCUUGAAGAUGCCUCUCCACAUCCUUUGCCUGCUUGACUCCUAUUCCUUCUUUAAGGUUCAACCUCAGGGACUUCCCUGGUGGUCCAGUGGCUAAGACCCUGUGUUCCCAAUGCAGGGGGCCCAGGUGUGA